AUUUUGGACAGCUCUGUGCUUUUUAAACCUUUAUGAUGCAGAUAUCUCUCAAGAUGUUUCAGUGACAUCCAGAGGUGAUUGCUGUGGACAGCUUUCUGUGAAGAUGCCUUUGUCACUAUUAUUGAGAGCCCACACUCUGCAAAGGAAUUCUCCCAAACUUGAAAACAGAAGGAAUGAUGAAGAGGAGGAAUAUGUUUGAUCAGCUACUAGCAAAGACACGGAGUCCUUUAAAUCCCCAGCUAGGGCUGGCAACCAUUUCCUAUCCACUUAGCAGCAGGUCACACUUUUCUCCCCAUCUCACUAAUGAAGAAGUGGAAGAGAUAAAAGCCAGGAUCAGAAUGGGAAAUAACGCAGAUAAGGAAGCCAAGGAGACUCAGGGAAAGCAAACAUCUUGCCAAAGACCACACACAUAAUUACUAGUUAGACAGACAUCCCCAGUGAGUUGUUCUAGUCCCAUUGUUGCACAGAGCUCAUCUUGGUUGGAAGAGGUCUUUAAGACUCUUGUGAGACUCUUGUAUUAAUAAAGUGUUUUGUUUUCUGUCA
rnacentral:lncRNA from 1 species